rnacentral:rRNA from 1 species
CAGCAGCCGCGGUAAUACCGGCGGCCCGAGUGGCGGUCACUUUUUUUGGGCUUAAAGCGUCCGUAGCCGGGUUGGGAAGUCCUCCGGGAAAUCUGGCCGCUUAACGGUCAGAAUGCCGGAGGAUACUCCCAGCCUAGGGAGCGGGAGAGGCCGAGGGUAUUCCCGGGGUAGGGGGGAAAUUCUAUAAUCCCGGGAGGACCACCUGUGGCGAAGGCGCUCGGCUGGAACGCGUCCGACGGUGAGGGACGAAGGCCAGGGGAGCAAACCGGAUUAGAUACCCGGGUAGUCCUGGCGGUAAACGAUGCGGACUUUGUGUCGGACAAGCUAUGAGCUUGUCCGGUGCCGGAGGGAAACCGUUAAGUCCGCCGCCUGGGGAGUACGGCCGCAAGGCUGAAACUUAAAGGAAUUGGCGGG